rnacentral:rRNA from 1 species
UAGUUGCAAGGUAUAGACCCGAAACCCGGUGAUCUAGCCAUGGGCAGGUUGAAGGUUGGGUAACACUAACUGGAGGACCGAACCGACUAAUGUUGAAAAAUUAGCGGAUGACUUGUGGCUGGGGGUGAAAGGCCAAUCAAACCGGGAGAUAGCUGGUUCUCCCCGAAAGCUAUUUAGGUAGCGCCUCGUGAACUCAUCUUCGGGGGUAGAGCACUGUUUCGGCUAGGGGGCCAUCCCGGCUUACCAAACCGAUGCAAACUCCGAAUACCGAAGAAUGUUAUCACGGGAGACACACGGCGGGUGCUAACGUCCGUCGUGAAGAGGGAAACAACCCAGACCGCCAGCUAAGGUCCCAAAGUCAUGGUUAAGUGGGAAACGAUGUGGGAAGGCAUAGACAGCCAGGAUGUUGGCUUAGAAGCAGCCAUCAUUUAAAGAAAGCGUAAUAGCUCACUGGUCGAGUCGGCCUGCGCGGAAGAUGUAACGGGGCUAAACCAUGCACCGAAGCUGCGGCAGCGACGCUUAGGCGUUGUUGGGUAGGGGAGCGUUCUGUAAGCCGUUGAAGGUGAACUGUGAGGUUUGCUGGAGGUAUCAGAAGUGCGAAUGCUGACAUAAGUAACGAUAAAGCGGGUGAAAAACCCGCUCGCCGGAAGACCAAGGGUUCCUGUCCAACGUUAAUCGGGGCAGGGUGAGUCGACCCCUAAGGCGAGGCCGAAAGGCGUAGUCGAUGGGAAACAGGUUAAUAUUCCUGUACUCGGUGUUACUGCGAAGGGGGGACGGAGAAGGCUAGGCUAGCCGGGCGACGGUUGUCCCGGUUUAAGCGUGUAGGGGGAGUGACCUGGUAAAUCCGGUUACUUACUAACCCUGAGGCGUGAUGACGAUGCACUACGGUGCAGAAGUAGUUGAUGCCCAGCUUCCAGGAAAAGCCUCUAAGCAUCAGGUAACAUCAAAUCGUACCCCAAACCGACACAGGUGGUCAGGUAGAGAAUACCCAGGCGCUUGAGAGAACUCGGGUGAAGGAACUAGGCAAAAUGGUGCCGUAACUUCGGGAGAAGGCACGCUGGCGCGUAGGUGAAGAGACUUGCUCUCGGAGCUGAAGCCAGUCGCAGAUACCAGCUGGCUGCAACUGUUUAAUAAAAACACAGCACUGUGCAAACACGAAAGUGGACGUAUACGGUGUGACGCCUGCCCGGUGCUGGAAGGUUAAUUGAUGGGGUCAGCCGCAAGGCGAAGCUCUUGAUCGAAGCCCCAGUAAACGGCGGCCGUAACUAUAACGGUCCUAAGGUAGCGAAAUUCCUUGUCGGGUAAGUUCCGACCUGCACGAAUGGCGUAAUGAUGGCCAGGCUGUCUCCACCCGAGACUCAGUGAAAUUGAACUCGCUGUGAAGAUGCAGUGUACCCGCGGCAAGACGGAAAGACCCCGUGAACCUUUACUAUAGCUUGACACUGAACAUUGAGCCUUGAUGUGUAGGAUAGGUGGGAGGCUUUGAAGUGUGGACGCCAGUCUGCAUGGAGCCAACCUUGAAAUACCACCCUUUAAUGUUUGAUGUUCUAACUCGGCCCCGUAAUCCGGGGUGAGGACAGUGUCUGGUGGGUAGUUUGACUGGGGCGGUCUCCUCCCAAAGAGUAACGGAGGAGCACGAAGGUUAGCUAAUCACGGUCGGACAUCGUGAGGUUAGUGCAAAGGCAUAAGCUAGCUUGACUGCGAGAGUGACGGCUCGAGCAGGUACGAAAGUAGGUCUUAGUGAUCCGGUGGUUCUGAAUGGAAGGGCCAUCGCUCAACGGAUAAAAGGUACUCCGGGGAUAACAGGCUGAUACCGCCCAAGAGUUCAUAUCGACGGCGGUGUUUGGCACCUCGAUGUCGGCUCAUCACAUCCUGGGGCUGAAGUAGGUCCCAAGGGUAUGGCUGUUCGCCAUUUAAAGUGGUACGCGAGCUGGGUUUAGAACGUCGUGAGACAGUUCGGUCCCUAUCUGCCGUGGGCGUUGGAAGAUUGAGAGGGGUUGCUCCUAGUACGAGAGGACCGGAGUGAACGCACCACUGGUGUUCGGGUUGUCAUGCCAAUGGCACUGCCCGGUAGCUAAGUGCGGAAAAGAUAAGCGCUGAAAGCAUCUAAGCGCGAAACUUGCCUCGAGAUGAGUCUUCCCUGGGCCUUUAAGGCCCCUGAAGGAACGUUUAAGACUAAGACGUUGAUAGGCUGGGUGUGUAAGUGCAGCGAUGCAUUGAGCUAACCAGUACUAAUGAUCCGUGAGGCUUAACCUU